UACGGAGGAGGCAAGCGUUAUCCGGAAUUAUUGGGCGUAAAGCGUCCGUAGGUGGCACUUCAAGUCUGCGGUCAAAGACCGGGGCUUAACCCUGGAAAGGCCGUGGAAACUGAAGUGCUAGAGUGCAGUAGGGGUAGAGGGAAUUGCCGGUGUAGUGGUGAAAUGCGUAGAGAUCGGCAGGAACACCCAGGGGGGAAACCAGUCGACUGGGCAUCUACUGACGCUGAGGUGCGAGAGCGUGGGGAGCGAACCGG
rnacentral:rRNA from 1 species